rnacentral:lncRNA from 1 species
CAGAGAAGCAGCAGUUUUAUUCUGGUGAGAUCAUACUGUGCUGUGAGUGUGAGGUGGGUGUAGAGCCAUGAAGAAAAGUACAUUAGAGGGUGCAACGGAGGUCCUGGGUCCCAGUGUGAGGCAUGAUACAAAGAUGCAAGGCCCAGCAGAAGACAACUCAGGUUUGUUAUGAAUUGAGGAUAAAUAUCACUGAUAAAAUGGAGGUCAACAACUUAGCAGCAUCUUGUGGAAAAGGUUUGGAGGUGAGUGAAAUUAAAUGGUUACCUGAAUCAGGCAUUAUUCCAAUGGGAGACUGGAAGGUGUAGCCAGGAUUUUCUGAAGUGGAAGCAUUCAAAAUAUUGGGAACAAACACAGAAACUGUGGGGUCUGUGACAACUCGUGCGGAAUCUAAACUGAUACUGGGACCACAGUGUGCAAUAUCAUGCUCUGGGCCUGAAAGCUUUUGGCUCUAGUCUCUGAUGUACCAGGGAGAUCAACUGAUUAAAGUGCCAAAGGAUUUUCUUUCUAUUCAGUGGAUUUGAAAUACUUAAAGCUAAGCUGAACUCCAGAUCCUGCUA